UCGCUAGUAAUCGCGGAUCAGCACGCCGCGGUGAAUACGUUCCCGGGCCUUGUACACACCGCCCGUCACACCAUGGAAGUCUGCAAUGCCCGAAGCCGGUGGCCUAACCACUUAUGUGGAAGGAGCCGUCUAAGGCAGGGCAGAUGACUGGGGUGAAGUCGUAACAAGGUAAC
rnacentral:rRNA from 1 species